UUGAAGUGUGGACGCCAGUCUGCAUGGAGCCGACCUUGAAAUACCACCCUUUAAUGUUUGAUGUUCUAACGUUGACCCGUAAUCCGGGUUGCGGACAGUGUCUGGUGGGUAGUUUGACUGGGGCGGUCUCCUCCUAAAGAGUAACGGAGGAGCACGAAGGUUGGCUAAUCCUGGUCGGACAUCAGGAGGUUAGUGCAAUGGCAUAAGCCAGCUUGACUGCGAGCGUGACGGCGCGAGCAGGUGCGAAAGCAGGUCAUAGUGAUCCGGUGGUUCUGAAUGGAAGGGCCAUCGCUCAACGGAUAAAAGGUACUCCGGGGAUAACAGGCUGAUACCGCCCAAGAGUUCAUAUCGACGGCGGUGUUUGGCACCUCGAUGUCGGCUCAUCACAUCCUGGGGCUGAAGUAGGUCCCAAGGGUAUGGCUGUUCGCCAUUUAAAGUGGUACGCGAGCUGGGUUUAGAACGUCGUGAGACAGUUCGGUCCCUAUCUGCCGUGGGCGCUGGAGAACUGAGGGGGGCUGCUCCUAGUACGAGAGGACCGGAGUGGACGCAUCACUGGUGUUCGGGUUGUCAUGCCAAUGGCACUGCCCGGUAGCUAAAUGCGGAAGAGAUAAGUGCUGAAAGCAUCUAAGCACGAAACUUGCC
rnacentral:rRNA from 1 species